GUAACAAGGUUUCCGUAGGUGAACCUGCGGAAGGAUCAUUAUCGAGUUUUUGGUUGGGCUGUCGCUGGCCGCAAGGCAUGUGCACGCCUGGCUCAUCCACUCUCAACUUCUGUGCACUAUCGCAUGUAAGGUUGGCUUUGUGACGGAGGCUGGCUUCGCGGCUGGUCGUCGUUGUAUCGCUGCCUUGCGUGUUUCUUACUACAAACGCUUCAGUUAUAGAAUGUCUUUAUUUGCGGAUAACGCAACUAUAUACAACUUUCAGCAACGGAUCUCUUGGCUCUCGCAUCGAUGAAGAACGCAGCGAAAUGCGAUAAGUAAUGUGAAUUGCAGAAUUCAGUGAAUCAUCGAAUCUUUGAACGCACCUUGCGCUCCUUGGUAUUCCGAGGAGCAUGCCUGUUUGAGUCUCAUGGAAUUCUCAACCUUGCAGUUUUGUUACUGCGAGGCUUGGACUUGGAGGUCGUGUCGGCUCUCGCGAGUCGACUCCUCUGAAAUGCAUUAGUGCGGACGUUACCGGUCGCUUCAGCGUGAUAAUUAUCUGCGCUGCCGUCGACUGGUAUGUAAAGUACGCGCUUCUAACCGUCCUUCACGGGACAACACAUUGAAACUCUGAGCUCAAAUCAGGUAGGACUACCCGCUGAACUUAAGCAUAUCAAUAA
rnacentral:misc_RNA from 1 species